GAUUGUGUGCAAUCGCUGUAAUAUUUUUAUUUUUUUAAAAGGUCUUAAACAAGAAUAAAUUCGUUUCUUGCGAGCUCGUUGUGUCACUGCACGAGAAGCCGCGCCGUCUCGCGCUGUCAAAAGAGCUGACGCAAAUCCUUCAUUUUCCACACUUCAACAGCUGAAAAACACCCACUUUUAGCUCUUGGUUUGUUCUAAUGGGUGGAUUGUGUGCAAUCGCUAUAAUAUUUUAUUUUUAAAGGCCUUAAACAAGAAUAAAUUUGCUUCUUGUGAGCUCGUAGUGCGAGUGCAGGAGAAGCCGCGAGGGCUCGCGCUGUCAAAAGAGCUGACGCAAAUCGUUCAUUUUCAAACUUCAACAGCUGAAAAACACCCUCUUUUAGCUCUUGGUUUGUUCUAAUGGGUGGAUUGUGUGCAAUCGCUGUAAUAUUUUAUUUUUAAAAGGUCUUAAACAAGAAUAAAUUCGUUUGUUGUGAGCCCGCUGUGAGACCACUCGCUGAACGGAGCGGUGAAUUCUCUCUCGUCUUUCUCUCUGUUCUGUGACCAGAUAUACAUUUUUAAUAAGCCCUGACCCCUGUAAUACUCAAAUAUGUUGGUUUAGCUUGUCAGAGUGAAAUAAAUUCAUGUAUUUAUAUGUAUUUUUAACCGAUUUAAAAGUGAAACUAAGGCAGACUCCUCCCUCGGUCCCGGGAAUUGCUCCUGUAGAGGCGCAAUUUUUCUCAGAUAAUGGGAGUCUAUGGGAGAUUUCUGAUUUAUACAAAUUAAUAAUAAAUAAACUGUAAGUCUGAUCAGUCUAAAAAGAUAUAGCAUAAAACUACACCCCGGGGCCCAGGUCUCUGCCGAGUUUGGGGCUUGUGGCUUUAAAGCCCUAGGAGGAGUAGCGUUUGGAAUUUUAGGAUCAGAAGAAUAAUAAUAAUAAAAAUAAUAAUAAUAACUAGAAUGUAAAGUUAGUGAACUAACUUUGAUGUUGGCUUGGCCUUGGGCCAAAAGAGCCACUGUACUUGUGUGUCCAACCUUCUUGAGCUGCCUUGGUGGGAAAAAAAAAAAAAAACUUCCAACUGUAUUUUUCUAUGGACCCUUGCUGUUUUCUGUUCCAAUAAAAAGCAUUGGCUAUGACAACAGUUUCAACAGGUUUGGCUAGCUGUAUGCAAAAUAAGUCAUGCCUUUUUCCCCUGUUUGCUAUUUCCCAGUCCUCUAACUGAAGUGUUGUAGGCAACAACACAGAAGGUUAAAGAAACAAUGUGGUUUAAGUCAAGGUGAAAAUCGAUAUGAAAAAUAGAUAAGUAAUAUAGUUUCUUUUCUUCACUUUAUGUGUGAUAACUUGAGAAAUAUGUUGUCAAUACUAUUAAAAUAAGAAAAAAACGUAAUGGUACUUAGGGGAUUACAGUUUUUGCAUAAAUACUAUAUUGGGCUUUAUUAAAGUUUAUGAAAAUAGAAUGCAUGUAUAUGCAUUUUAUAUUUAUGCACAUAAAUGGAACAUUUUAAAAUCUGUGAACAUAUAUUGAAGUAUUUUCUAUCCUGUGGCGCCAUCGUGUGGACAACAUUAGCAUUGUGGCCUUCAUUUCUGAACAACAUCAUUAUGAAAGGGGCCAAUAUUUUAUGAAUGAUUACAAAUAUUUAAUGAUUAGUUCACUGAUAAUAUACCCACAUUAAAAUCGAAUUUACUGAUUCUGUAUCUUAUUUCAUGCUUUAAGAGUUUAUUUUUCAACUUACAUUUUUAAGCAGUGAUGAAUGAUAACUAUGUGAGUUGCUAAAUUGUAUUUUGCAAUAAUAAUACAUAAACUAUAUAAUGAUGACAAAAUAACAACAGUUAUUGUUUUCAUAAUAUUUACUACUGACAAUACAAAAUAUAGACAUACAAAAAAAAGCUGCCAAGACGAAUGAUUUGUCCGUUCUUGCAGCGAAAAAGCCAGAAUCAGCGUCCUCUGUAACUCGAGAGAUCGAUGCAAUGUCUUUUUCUGGCCUAAGACAAAAAAUAUCUCACAAGCACUCAUUUUAAUCUCUAUAAUAUAUUCUUCUAAUUGUUUUGUACUGAUUCGCUGGAGUGUUUUAAUGUAAAAGGCUGUAGUUUCAGUAUGUAGACCUUUUUCCCCAUGCCAGUGUUGAAGUCUCGAGCCGUCAGAGAGUCUGCUGCAAAUCAUUCAAAUUUCACAAUAUACCAGCUCACAAAAAUCUGAAUUUAGCCGUUGGUGUGUUCUCAUGGGUGGAUUGUGUGCAAUCGCUGUAAUAUUUUAUUUUUAAAAGGUCUUAAACAGGAAUAAAGUCGUUUGUUGUGAGGUCGUUGUGAGCCCGCGCGGUCUCGCGUUGUCAAAAUAGAUGACGCAAAUCCUUCAUUUUCCACACUUCAACAGCUGAAAAACACCCACUUUUAGCUCUUGGUUUGUUCUAAUGGGUUGAUUGUGUGCAAUCGCUGUAAUAUUUUAUUUUUAAAAGGUCUUAAACAAGAAUAAAUUCGUUUCUUGCGAGCUCGUUGUGUCACUGCACGAGAAGCCGCGCCGUCUCGCUGUCAAAAAGAGCUGACGCAAAUCCUUCAUUUUCCACACUUCAGCAGCUGAAAAACACCCACUUUUAGCUCUUGGUUUGUUCUAAUGGGUGGAUUGUGUGCAAUCGCUGUAAUAUUUUAUUUUUAAAAGGUCUUAAACAGAUAUAAAUUCGUUUGUUGUGAGCUCGCUGUGCGACUGCACGAGAAGCCGCGCCGUCUCGCACUGUCAAAAGAGCUGACGCAAAUCCUUCAUUUUCCACACUUCAACAGCUGAAAAACACCCACUUUUAGCUCUUGGUUUGUUCUAAUGGGUGGAUUGUGUGCAAUCGCUGUAAUAUUUUAUUUUUAAAAGGUCUUAAACAAGAAUAAAUUCGUUUCUUGCGAGCUCGUUGUGUCACUGCACGAGAAGCCGCGCCGUCUCGCGCUGUCAAAAGAGCUGAUGCAAAUCGUUCAUUUUCAAACUUCAAGAGCUCAAAAACACCCUCUUUUAGCUCUUGGUUUGUUCUAAUGGGUGGAUUGUGUGCAAUCGCUGUAAUAUUUUAUUUUUAAAGGUCUUAAACAAGAAUAAAUUUGCUUCUUGUGAGCUCGUAGUGCGAGUGCAGGAGAAGCGCGCGGGGCUCGCGCUGUCAAAAGAGCUGACGCAAAUCGUUCAUUUUCAAACUUCAACAGCUGAAAAACACCCUCUUUUACCUCUUGGUUUGUUCUAAUGGGUGGAUUGUGUGCAAUCGCUGUAAUAUUUUAUUUUUAAAAGGUCUUAAACAAGAAUAAAUUCGUUUGUUGUGAGCCCGCUGUGAGACCACUCGCUGAACGGAGCGGUGAAUUCUCUCUCGUCUUUCUCUCUGUUCUGUGACCAGAUAUACAUUUUUAAUAAGCCCUGACCCCUGUAAUACUCAAAUAUGUUGGUUUAGCUUGUCAGAGUGAAAUAAAUUCAUGUAUUUAUAUGUAUUUUUAACCGAUUUAAAAGUGAAACUAAGGCAGACUCCUCCCUCAGUCCCGGGAAUUGCUCCUGUAGAGGCGCAAUUUUUUUCUCAGAUAAUGGGAGUCUAUGGGAGAUUUCUGAUUUAUAAAAAUUAAUAAUAAAUAAACUGUAAGUCUGAUCAGUCUAAAAAGAUAUAGCAUAAAACUACACCCCGGGGCCCAGGUCUCUGCCGAGUUUGGGGCUUGUGGCUUUAAAGCCCUAGGAGGAGUAGCGUUUGGAAUUUUAGGAUCAGAAGAAUAAUAAUAAUAAAAACUAGAAUGUAAAGUUAGUGAACUAACUUUGAUGUUGGCUUGGCCUUGGGGCAAAAGAGCCACAUUACUUGUGUGUCCAACUUUCUUGAGCUGCCUUGCUGCAAAAACAAAAACCUACAGCAGUAUUUUUCUGUAGACCCUUGCUGUUGUCUGUUCUAAUAAAAAGCCUAGGCUAUGACAACAGCUUAUGAGUCCUUAUGUGAGUACUAUUAUAUUGACAAUAUGAAAAUACAUAACUAAUAUAGUUUCCUUUCUUCACUUUAUGUGUGAUAACUUGAGAAAUAUGUUGUCAAUACUAUUAAAAUAAGAAAAAAGUAAUGGUACUUAGGAGAUUACAGUUUUUGCAUAAAUACUAUAUUGGGCUUUAUUAAAGUUGAUGAAAAUAGAAUGCAUGUAUAUGCAUUUUAUAUUUAUGCACAUAAAUGAAACAAUUUAAAAUCUUUGAACAGAUAUUGAAGUAUUUGCUAUCCUGUGGCGCCAUCGUGUGGAUAACAUUAGCAUUGUGGCCUUCAUUUCUGAACAACAUUAUGAAAGGGGCCAAUAUUUUUUGAAUGAUUACAAAUGUUUAAUGAUUAGUUCACUGAUAAUAUACCCACAUUAAAAUCGAAUUUACUGAUUCUGUAUCUUAUUUCAUGCUUUAAGAGUUUAUUUUUCAACUUACAUUUUUAAGCAGUGAUGAAUGAUAACUAUGUGAGUUGAUAAAUUAUUUUUUGCAAUUAUAAGACAUAAACUAUAUAAUGAUGACAAAAUUACAACAGUUAUUUUUUUCAUAAUAUUUACUAUUGACAAUACAAUAUAUAGACAUACAAAAAAAGCAGCCAAGACGAAUGAUUUUCUGUUUUUUAUAGAUUAAAAUUGAAAACAGAAAGCAGCUGGUAAAUGCAGUCACUUUAUUAUUCAAAUCCAGUAUCAUGAUCCAUUUCCGAUUUAUUUUUCUACAGUUUAUGUUCACGUGGCUGUUUUCGUUUAUAUUCGCCAAGCUUUUAUGUAUUUUGAAAUAAUCCUUUAUGUGAUUUGUCCCUUCUUGCACCGAAAAGCCAGAAUCAGCUUCUUCUGUAAUUCGAGAGAUCGAUGCAAGGUGUUAUUCUGCCCUAAGACAAAAAUAUCUCACAAGCACUCAUUUUAAUCUCUAUAAUAUAUUCUUCUAAUUGUUUUGUACUGAUUCGCUGGAGUGUUUUAAUGUAAAAGGCUGUAGUUUCUGUGUGUAGACUUUUUUCCCCUUCCAGUGAAAACGGCCGUCUCGCGCUGUCAAAUAGUCUUUAAUUUAGCUCACAAACACCUGAAUUUAGCUCUUGUUGUCUUCUAAUGGGUGGAUUGUGUGCAGUCGCUGUAAUAUUUUAUUUUUAAAAGCUCUUAAAAAACUAUAAAAAUGCUUUAACUGUGAGCACGAUCGGACUGAACUCUCUCAUCGGAGCGGUGAAUUUUCUCUCGUCUUUCUACUGAUCUCUGCCCAGACAUCAAUUAUUAAUGAGAUCUGACCCGAUAAUAAUAACAUAUGUUGUUUUAGCUUGUCAGUGUGAAUGAAAUGUGUAUUUAUUUGUCCGUUCUCUCGCCGAAAAGCCAGACAUCACCGUGUUCUGGAGCGCAGAGCAAUCGAUGUGAUGUUCAGCCCUUAGACAAAGAAAAUCUCACAAGCACUCAUAAACACUAAUUUUCAUCCGUAUAAUAUGUUCUUCUAAUUGUUUUGUGUUG
ensembl:lncRNA